GAUGAACGCUGGCGGCGUGCCUAAUACAUGCAAGUCGAGCGAACGGACGAGAAGCUUGCUUUUCUGAUGUUAGCGGCGGACGGGUGAGUAACACGUGGAUAACCUACCUAUAAGACUGGGAUAACUUCGGGAAACCGGAGCUAAUACCGGAUAAUAUUUUGAACCGCAUGGUUCAAAAGUGAAAGACGGUCUUGCUGUCACUUAUAGAUGGAUCCGCGCUGCAUUAGCUAGUUGGUAAGGUAACGGCUUACCAAGGCAACGAUGCAUAGCCGACCUGAGAGGGUGAUCGGCCACACUGGAACUGAGACACGGUCCAGACUCCUACGGGAGGCAGCAGUAGGGAAUCUUCCGCAAAGGGCGAAAGCCUGACGGAGCAACGCCGCGUGAGUGAUGAAGGUCUUCGGAUCGUAAAACUCUGUUAUUAGGGAAGAACAAAUGUGUAAGUAACUAUGCACGUCUUGACGGUACCUAAUCAGAAAGCCACGGCUAGCUACGUG
rnacentral:rRNA from 1 species